UUGGUUGUGAUCAAUUUUCACAUCUUAUUUAUUGAACAGACUAUAUAACACCCUUCUCUCAUAUGGUUACUAUAAAUGGGGUUACGCAAGUACCCCCAAGAUAUAUCGAACAACGAAAGCAUGACCAUUCAAAACUUUAGUAUCUGAGGGCAUUAUCUGGAAUGGGCCCACUUAGUUUUUGUAGGCUUUAGAUGUCUAAC
rnacentral:lncRNA from 1 species